UCACAGAAAUAUACAAAAAUAUGCAGGGUUUUUUGUGUUUAACAAAAAACCCUGCAUAUUUUUGUAUAUUUCUGUGA